rnacentral:pre_miRNA from 1 species
GAGGGGUGCAACCUGAAAACACAGACGACGGAUUUUGGUCGUUUGGUUCAAGUUAACUACACUUAUGUCGUCUCUGUGUUCUCAGGUCACCCCUC